GCCUGGUUUAUGAGUCACCGCUGCCUCAGCGUUCUGCUGUAAAGCCACAGACAAAAGUUCAGUAAACCAAGAGCAACAGAAGCAGAAAGUCUAACUUUAAUUUAAUGGCAAAAUGAAUAACAAAAGUCUAUCUAACAGCUUAUCUGGAGAAAAAAAAAAUCUGCAUGAUUGGUGUAAUGAGAUGUACAACUGAAAAUCUAAAAAAAAAAAAACAGCAUUGGAGGACAAAGUCAUGCUUCGGCCAUACAUCUGGAAACACUCUAAACCAACAUCCUGGUAUAAAUUUGCAAAACGCAAUACAGGCCGGAUUGUGCGCGGGACGGACGCGGGACGCAUACAAAUGGCCCCCCGUCUAAAGUACCCCCUGUUUCUCUUCAGCCUCAGAAAGUAAUGUACAAUAAAUCAACAAAAGAGCGUUAAUGCCUCCGUUGA
ensembl:lncRNA